CCUACGGGAGGCAGCAGUAGGGAAUCUUCCACAAUGGACGAAAGUCUGAUGGAGCAACGCCGCGUGAGUGAUGAAGGUUUUCGGAUCGUAAAACUCUGUUGUAAGGGAAGAACACGUACGAGAGGAAAUGCUCGUACCUUGACGGUACCUUACGAGAAAGCCACGGCUAACUACGUGCCAGCAGCCGCGGUAAU
rnacentral:rRNA from 1 species